AAGUGCACAACUUGCAGUCUUGUGUUUGAGUCAGAGCGACGCCUGGACAAGUUUCCGUAGCGCAAUGGCUAUAGCUGCCAGCCGUCCAGCUGGACUUUACAGUCCUGCGUAACUCAUUUAAUGACUCAACCAAAAAGGGGGGCUUGACGAUACCCAGAUAGCAAAUCAUUUUGGCUUUGUUUAGGCAUACAUUUGGCCUCUUUGGGCUUGUUUUGGCAAAUGAUAUAGCUCCUCUAAGAUGUUUGGGUGACCUGUGGCUUAAUGAUCUGCCAUAAUAAAUAAUGGGCGCCAAGUAAUUCUGGCUGAGUUAUGGCUUAUCUGGUUAACCAGCCGACAAGGUGAUGAGCGGGACUGCAUCUCAUGACUUCGGGUGCGCUUAUGGCUUAUGUCUGCUUAACCAGCCGACAAGGUGAUGAGCGAGACUGCAUUUCAUGACUUACGGGUGCGCUUUGACAUCUAUCCGGCUUGCCAUAAGGCUGCGCCAAGAGCGGGAAUUUCGAAGAUCCAUGCCCAGAAAAGAGCCCCCCAACAUCAGUCUGCCAGCGUGAUAACUUAAGAAGAAUCAGAACCCGGUGAAUCUGAAUGCUGAGAUGGCGAGCCAAAACCGGAUCGUGGAUGCAGUGUGGCCAACUGUAUGAUCCAGAACAAACCUGAUUCGCUUAUCAAGAAGACAUCAGACCCCAGUCCUGCCCGUCAGGUAGACAGGUAGUAAGAUAGAGAUACAGUACACAUAAGGACCCGGAACUCGCGGAACCUUCAAGCAUACCCCAUUUCAUUGCACUAAAUGGACUAUAUCCUGGAACAUUACACACACUGAAAGGAUUGACGAUUUCCAUCUCUCUUUUUUUUUUAUUUUUCAUUGAUUUAUAUUGUGGUUGUUGCAUUCAUCGCUUUAUAUUGUGGUUGUUGCAUGACCGAUUGUGAAGCAAUAAACUGGUAAUUUGUUCAACUUGUUUUAUUUGGUUCUUGGGCUGCCUCUCCUUCAAAUCUAGGUAGAUAUUUAGUGUUUUUUUCCAGUACUGGCCCCAGACAAGCGCUACAAUUAGUUGUAUUAUUAUAUUAUAUAUUUAUUAUUUAUUAUUAUUAGUAACUAUUAUGAGUUUAAACGUUCUUUAAAUAUUCUAUCCAAUGAAUGUACAUUAGAAUAUCAGUAUAAUUUCUCUGGAUGUUACAGAACUCUGCUUGGAUGUUUUAAAGUAGGUGCUCAGCUCUUGCCCAAACUUGAAAAACUGCUUGAUCGAAUACUUGGAAUGACGCAAGGGACAACUCAAAUUCUCUGCCUUUUCCUCUUUAUUUAGAAGUGAAGUGCAUAUAGCAUAGUGUAGUUAGGUUGUUAGGUUGAAAACCUUCAAACAUAAAUCACAAGAAAAAAGAGACAUUGCAUUAUUAUCAAAUAUGUUUUAGACUAAACACAUGACAUUUGAUACUGCUAAUCAAAUCAUUGCAUCUUCUGCAGUUAAAUAAGCAACAAAGUCCUACAAAAGCACAUCAAAUAAUUAAAGGUUUCAAAUAUAAGCAAGCAAAGUAUGAUUUUGGUUAAACAUAAGGAUGCCUUUUACUUUACAAUUUCGGUCAGCAUUCAGAUCAAGCCUGAUAUUUUACAAACUAUCAUUUUGCAAUGCAACUCAAGUUAAUUACAUACGCAACAACUGAUCAGGCACAAACAGGCUACUACUCCAACUUAAGUACUGAUGUAAUGCCUUAAUAUACCUUUUCAACAUUUCACAUAUUUAUAUUCAUUUAAAUAAGAAAGUCCAUUUCUCUACCAGUUGCGUCUCCAUUGUUUUGAUCAUGAGCUGAGCGUCUUUCUUUGUUUUAAUUGUUUGCUGGAAGAUUUCCUCUGUUCUCAACUUCUCUCUCACAAACUUUUCCUCCCAUGCAGGUGUUCAGGCGUGCAGGUGAUUGCCUGCCACAGUGAGGGCGGGGCUUGGUUUCUCACACGCACUGACUUUCUCUCUGCCCCCUGCAGGUUCGGAGGUUUGGAGCUGAGACUUGGAGCUGAGAUUGUGGCUGUUGCUGUGCAUGAUUUCCCAGUGCGCUUUGAUUUGACGCGACAGUAGGGUUAAACUGGUUAACAGAGUUUGAUUUUUGUUCUCAUGCAGAAGACCAGCUACUAUGUAUUCCGUUGUCUGCUUUGACAAUUCCGAGGAGGUGGAGGUUAUGCCAACGCAAUGGUACAAUAGUGGGACAUGCAGGUGGCCCCCCCACAAGGCUGAGGGAGUCAAUCGGGCCAUAAGGCAGCUGGAAGAGCCCCAAGAUUUCUGGCGUCUAUUCGACAAUGCCAGGGUUUUUUUUUCUUCAGGAAUGUAUCCUUAAAUAAUCAACUGAUCAGUACUGAUAUCAAUAAAUACAUUCCGAAAUACGAGUUCUGUUCAACAGAUAACUAUCUGGAGUGUCGCCAGAAGCUGCCACUGGCUCAAAACCAGACUGAUUUGGCAUCAGAGGCCGAAGACCCAACAACAGACCGCAGACCCAAAAGAAAAAUCAAGCCAAGUAGACAUGUCCGACUGGACUUUGAAAAUCAAGACCCCAGUCCUCCAAAGAAACAGGCCUUCCAAAAUCUCCCUAAGGCCCCUGCGAUCUCUGGACCGUCCAACAUCAGGCGCUUCAUAACAGCGCAGCCCACACAGAGUGGGUGUUAUGAGGUCCCUGUGAUCAAUGAGGAUCCUCAGGAUUUUCAGCUCUUCUGCGUGACCUGUUGGUUAACCAACAAAUCCUGAUGGACCAGCAAAAGACCAUGAUACGCAUGAUCCAAGACCUCCACAGACCCAUCCAGGGAGGUCAGAGGAUGUCCACCACCUCAAGGCAUACUGCCUAUUUUCCGCUAGGGGAUAAACUGGCUCUGGAGGCCCUGGAGGGCGACCUGGCAAGCCAGCGGGACCUUCGUCAGGAAUUGAUUAUCACUCUUGGAUUGGCAGGGGGAGCUGAUGCCAAGGACACAGUGUGGCGCAUUCUCAAACAGGCCAUCAAAAAUGACCUUGCCAAGAACAUCUCAUGGCGGGGGAUGAAUGGAAAGAUUUCAUUCGAGAAACUACUUCUGAAGGCAGUAGUGAUGGAUGCAGUGAGGCGCAAUCCAUCCUGCUCAACCGCAACGGAUGUGCAGAUUGCGAAUGCCAUCAAACGAUGGUUUUACUGGGCUGGGGAUAGAGAGGGAGGGAGGAAAAAACGCCAGCCGGCUCCAAACCUGGAGCAAACUGAUUAAAUCUAUUAAAAGAUACUACUUUCAAAUAUUUUGUUUCAUUAUUUGUGCAUUAUACACAUAGAACAUAAAUUAACAAUGCAACUUAUGAGGUUUGGGUGAGUUAUGGAAUCACUUUGGGUCAGUUAUGGGAUCACUAUGGGUCAGUUAUGAGAUCACUUUGGGUCAGUUAUGGGAUCACUUUGGGUCAGUUAUGGGAUCACUUUGGGUCAGUUAUGGGAUCAAUUUGGGUCAGUUAUGGGUUCACUAUGGGUCAGCUUUGGGAUCACUUUGGGUCAGUUAUGGCUUCUUUUUGGCAAGGUUCUGGGGAUUUCGGCCACUCUUUGGGAUACUUCUUUCUACAUUUUGGUAUUCCAAAAUUGGUUUUGGCUAGAUUUUGGCCUCCUUUUGUUUUUCUUUUGGCACACCUAAUUUGGCCCAAACUUUGGCCAUGCGUCAUUCCAAAGCUUUGCCAAAAUGGCAUGCCAGUUUUGGGCCAUAAGAUUUUUGCUACAUCCUAUAUAUUAAAAGGAGCAUCGAAUGCUACUGCAUACUGGCGCUGACGAGAUGCGGGCCGCCAUCUCGGAAUGGUGAUCAGCUCCACUCAAAACUGGGAACAUAAUCCCCAAGAAGGGGAAAUAAAAAACCGGUCAGCUAUUUUUAAGUUGAAGAAACAAUAUAUGAUUAGGCUAUAUCCACAUAUCCUACAUAAACAAUGUAUGAAUACAUUAUAUAUGUAUAUAUCUUACCUUAUAGACUAUGUCUCUGACUGUUGCUACAGCAGCAGAGUUUAUUCUGUCUUGACACUUUGUAUUGAUAUUUUGUAUGUACUUUUAUUAAUUAUUAUAAUGUUUACAGUGAUUGUUUUAUAUGUAUUUUUAUGCAUGUCACUUUGGAAUAAAGCGUCUGCCAAAUACUUUAACAACAUACUUAUAUAAACACCUGAAAGUUUUAAUAUCAGCUAAAACCACCAAUCUGUUUCACUGGAUUCAGAUAAAACCAAAUUCUGUCUUACCCAACAAUGUUAAUAUUUGAAUAUUGUUACUUGAAUGACUCCAUUUAUAUCAUGGUUACAAUUAUACUGUUAAGAAAGUAUUGUCUUAUACUUUGCCUAAAAUGAGAAUGCGUCAUGAUACAAAUCUGCUGAUUGAAUGUUUAUUUAUGGAUGGAUGAAUGGAAUGGACUGGAGUUUGCAUGUGGGAAUUGAUACAGGAAAAUGAUCAGACCAGAACGGGUGAAAUUCAAAAUACAAUAAAAAGCAGCCAGGGUAAAUGCAGACUGGCCAUUUACAGUGUUUCAAAAAUAAGAAAAUAAAAUACAAAAGAAUUAUCAUGGAAAAUAAAUAAUUAAAUAAUUAAAAUAAAUCUAUCGCAUUAGGCCUGAUUAUCAUGAAUUAGGAGUGAAAUUCAAAAUACAAUAAAAAGCAGUCAGGGUAAAUGCAGAUGGACCAAUGUAGUGUAUGCAAGGCAAUGUGAAUGUAAAAAAUAUCAAUAUCUGUGUGGGAUUAAAACCCUGAAA